AUCCUUACCUGGCAGGGGAGAUUCUAUGAUCACAAAAGUGGUUUUCCCAGGGCGAGGCUCCCCCAUGGCACUCAGGAUGUGCCAACCCCUGUGACUUCCCCAAACGUGGGGAAUUGACUGCAGAAUCUGGGGCAGUGGGGUCUGUGUUCACGCUCUCCCCUG